CCAACUGUCCUUGCCCUAGGCAGGGGACCAUGUUAGUUAUUUUGGGCUCUUUCCUAUCCUUUGGGGAACACAGAGUUUAGUGAAAAGAAUUCUUCUGAAGUGUGGUGUACAUGCCCAGUUCUAUUUCUAAGGCUUAGGAGGGAGUGGAAGGGAGAAGGUCCUGGCUCACGAGCAUCUGUGAAACCCACUGCUAAUGUAAAUGCAUCUCUUGAAAAUGUGCAUGUAGCCUAUGUGGAGGAACGUUACUUUGGAUUUUUGUUCAGUUUUUUUGUGAAUCCAGGUAUUCCUGAUCCAUGGGCAGUCAGUGCAUAGGAAUCCUCCAGGACUCACACUGCAAGUACAGAAUGUGGGAGGAGAGAGGUGCUGAAGCCCACCAUCACAAGAGCCUGUGACUUGGGCACACACCCUCCUGCAUAGACUCCCUCGUCUUCCAAGACAGGGAGCCAAACUGAUUGGCAUCUGUCACUGCAGGAGAUGGUGGCUUAGAAAUGGACAUGCUAGGGGACCUUGAGUCCCUGCAGUUUGAGUAUGGGAUUCAAGAGGAAGAUCGCAGCUGGCUCUAUUUGCAGGGCCGUUCUCGAGGGCUGAUGAUCAAGGCCUGUGCCCAUGCAACCUUCUUCUGCAAGCUACUCUGUAACUUGAGAGAAUCAUUCCAUGAGAAGCAGACUUCCAGCUGUCCCUUGACUGGAUUGCUUACUGGCAUUCCCGAUGAUGAUGAGUUAAAGGUGGGCAUCAUUGGAGGUGGUCACCUUGGGAAGCAACUGGCUCGUGUACUGCUUCAGCUUGUCCCCAUCCCUGCUGAGAACCUGAGGAUCUCCACUCGGAGGCCAGAGGCCCUGGAUGAGUUCCAGAAACUGGGAAUCCAGUGUUUUUACCAUAACCCUUAUCUGGUGGACUGGGCCAACGUGCUGUUCCUCUGCUGCCUGCCCUCUCAGCUGCCUAAUAUCUGCCUAGAAAUUCAAACCCGCCUGGAGAAAGGUUGCAUCGUGUACAGCUUCGUGGCUGCCGUCCCAGUAGCCAGGUUGAAACUCCUACUGAACCACACCAAUAUCUUGCGGCCUCAGUAUCAGUGUGUUGAAAAUUUUGUCAACAUCUGGGGGGCCAACAAGGACAUCACAGCUGCCCUCCAAGAUCCUAUGAUUCUUCAGGCUACCUGUCCCUACAGUCCUGCUGGGGGAAUAAUCCUCAAUAUCAAGUGGUUGGAGGGAGUGUUAUACGCGGUCCUAAACAUCUGCACCGCAAGGGACAUGCCUCACUUACAAGUGCUGCAGCUUCUGAAUGAACUGUUACUCUCUGUGCACUUUGAAGACUGUGAUAAAGAUGGAGCAUCUUGCCCCAAAUUUCAAUUACAUGAUUUUGUCAGCCAAAUCUAUAGCAAGAACCUAUCUCAGCGAAGGCCUUUCCCCUGGUUUGAUCUGACUGCUGUGCAACUCAAGGAAACACCCUUUGGUCAGCAUCUCUCAGCCAGUACUGCUCUCCAGGACCACCUUACCUAUCGAUACUGUGAUUCAUUUGGUAUCUCCCUACCCCAAGGACAGCAGCCAGGGGUUUCCACAAGGCUCUGACUCUCAAUAAGAGAAGAGACCUCGGGAAUCAGAAUUUUUUUCCCUCCACAAUGCUUGUACCCUGAUUAUCACAAUUGACACUGGGAGUCAUUUGAAGAAGUCACCUG